CUUGAAGCCGGUGGGCACGGUCCUGCCGCAGUAGUUGAGGAUGAGGCUGAGAUCGAUAGGCAGGUUGAGGUUGAUGCCGAGGAUUUGGCCCUUGAUGGCGGUGCAGAGGCAGACGGCGGCCUCCAGGUCGACGAGACCCUCCAGCAGCGGGCAGCACGGCUCCGCGGGCGGCACGCCCACCUUCGCCUUGAUGAGGCCCAGCACGUUGGCGCACACGCCAAGCUUGAGCGCGUCGCGGGGGCACCUGCCGAACGACGACGGCGUGGGCGUGGGCGUCGUCGGCGUCGAGGGGGUCGGGGUCGGGGUCGGGCAG
rnacentral:misc_RNA from 1 species